UACGUAGGGGGCAAGCGUUGUCCGGAUUUAUUGGGCGUAAAGAGCGUGUAGGCGGCUUUGCAGGUCCGCUGUGAAACCUCGAGGCUCAACCUCGAGCUGUCGGUGGAAACCGUAAAGCUAGAGUCCGGAAGAGGAGAGUGGAAUUCCCGGUGUAGCGGUGAAAUGCGCAGAUAUCGGGAAGAACACCCGUGGCGAAGGCGGCUCUCUGGGACGGUACUGACGCUGAGACGCGAAAGCGUGGGGAGCGAACAGG
rnacentral:rRNA from 1 species